rnacentral:rRNA from 1 species
UACAGAGGUCUCAAGCGUUGUUCGGAUUCAUUGGGCGUAAAGGGUGCGUAGGUGGCGCGGUAAGUCGGGUGUGAAAUUUCGGAGCUUAACUCCGAAACUGCAUUCGAUACUGCCGUGCUUGAGGACUGGAGAGGAGACUGGAAUUUACGGUGUAGCAGUGAAAUGCGUAGAUAUCGUAAGGAAGACCAGUGGCGAAGGCGGGUCUCUGGACAGUUCCUGACACUGAGGCACGAAGGCCAGGGGAGGCAAACGGG